GGGAGGUCGGCGCGGGCGGGUUCCUCGCCAACCCGGUCAGGUCCGGAAGGAAGCAGCCGUAACGAGUUCUACUCGGGUCGCGUCCGGCCUCCUGCU
rnacentral:SRP_RNA from 1 species